rnacentral:rRNA from 1 species
GCGGAGGAAAAGAAACCAACAGGGAUUGCCUCAGUAACGGCGAGUGAAGCGGCAAAAGCUCAAAUUUGAAAUCUAGCACUUUCAGUGUUCGAGUUGUAAUUUGAAGAAGGUAACUUUGGUUUUGGCUCUUGUCUAUGUUCCUUGGAACAGGACGUCACAGAGGGUGAGAAUCCCGUGCGAUGAGAUGCCCAAUUCCAUGUAAAGUGCUUUCGAAGAGUCGAGUUGUUUGGGAAUGCAGCUCUAAGUGGGUGGUAAAUUCCAUCUAAAGCUAAAUAUUGGCGAGAGACCGAUAGCGAACAAGUACAGUGAUGGAAAGAUGAAAAGAACUUUGAAAAGAGAGUGAAAAAGUACGUGAAAUUGUUGAAAGGGAAGGGCUUGAGAUCAGACUUGGUAUUUUGCGUUCCCUUCCUUUUUGGUUGGGUUCCUCGCAGUUUACUGGGCCAGCAUCGGUUUGGAUGGUAGGAUAAUGACAUUGGAAUGUAGCUUUACUUCGGUGAAGUGUUAUAGACUUUGUUGAUACUGCCUAUCUAGACCGAGGACUGCGUCUUGA